rnacentral:rRNA from 1 species
CUCGUAGGCGGUUCGUCGCGUCCGGUGUGAAAGUCCAUCGCUUAACGGUGGAUCCGCGCCGGGUACGGGCGGGCUUGAGUGCGGUAGGGGAGACUGGAAUUCCCGGUGUAGCGGUGGAAUGCGCAGAUAUCGGGUGGAACACCGGUGGCGAAGGCGGCCCUCUGGGCCGAGACCGACGCUGAGGCGCGAAAGCUGGGGGAGCGAACA